rnacentral:rRNA from 1 species
CUCGUCAGAUCUAAGAUUAGCCAUGCAUGUCUCAGUACAGGCUGAAUUAAAGUGAAACCGCGAAUGGCUCAUUAAAUCAGUUAUGGUUUCUUAGAACUAUUCCAAGCUUACUUGGAUAACUGUGGUAAUUCUAGAGCUAAUACAUGCAAACGAAAUUCCUCUCAGAGAUGGGAGGAAUGCUUUUAUUAGAUCAAAACCAAUCGGUGGCGGACGGCUCGCUGUCCGUCCAUCGUCUGUUUUGGUGACUCUGAAUAACUUUACGCCGAUCGCAUGGUCGUCUAGCACCGGCGACGCGUCUUUCAAAUGUCUGCCUUAUCAACUGUCGAUGGUAGGUUCUGCGCCUACCAUGGUUGUAACGGGUAACGGGGAAUCAGGGUUCGAUUCCGGAGAGGGAGCCUGAGAAACAGCUACCACAUCCAAGGAAGGCAGCAGGCGCGCAAAUUACCCACUCCCGGCACGGGGAGGUAGUGACGAAAAAUAACGAUACGGGACUCAUCCGAGGCCCCGUAAUCGGAAUGAGUACACUUUAAAUCCUUUAACGAGGACCAAUUGGAGGGCAAGUCUGGUGCCAGCAGCCGCGGUAAUUCCAGCUCCAAUAGCGUAUAUUAAAGUUGUUGCGGUUAAAAAGCUCGUAGUUGGAUCUGUGUGUCACAGUGUCGGUUCACCGCUCGCGGUGUUUAACUGGCAUUAUGUGAUACGUCCUAUCGGUGGGCUUAGCUCCUCGCGGGCGGUCCAACUAAUCUCCCAUCGCGGUGCUCUUCACUGAGUGUCGAGGUGGGCCGAUACGUUUACUUUGAACAAAUUUAGAGUGCUUAAAGCAAGCUACCUUCGCCUGAAUACUUCGUGCAUGGAAUAAUGGAAUAGGAUCCUCGGGUUCUAUUUUUGUUUGGUUUCGGAGCCUCGGAGGUAAUUGAUUUAUUAGGGACAGAUGGGGGGCAAUUCGUAUUGGCGACGUUAGAGGUGAAUUCUUGGAAUCGUCCGCAAGACGGGACCGAUCGAAGCAUUUGCCAAAUGUUUCAUUAAUCAAGAACGAAGUUAGAGUUCGAAAGCCAUCGAUACGUCUAGUUCUACCAUAUGAGUCCAGCAGCGAUCCCGCAAGUUCUUCGAUGAUCGGCGACACGUUCCGGAACCAAGCUUUUAGAUCGGCAAAAGGGUGCACUGACUUAGGAAUGACGAAGAGCUCACCACGGAUA